rnacentral:rRNA from 1 species
UACGUAGGGUGCAAGCGUUAUUCGGAAUUAUUGGGCGUAAAGCGUGUGCAGGCGGCUUUGCAAGACAGCUGUGAAAUCCCCGGGCUUAACCUGGGAACUGCAUUUGUGACUGCAUGGCUGGAGUGCGGCAGAGGGGGAUGGAAUUCCGCGUGUAGCAGUGAAAUGCGUAGAUAUGCGGAGGAACACCGAUGGCGAAGGCAAUCCCCUGGGCCUGCACUGACGCUGAUGCGCGAAAGCGUGGGGAGCAAACAGG